rnacentral:tRNA from 1 species
GGGAGUUUAGCUCAGCUGGGAGAGCAUCUGCCUUACAAGCAGAGGGUCGCGUGUUCAAGUCAUGUAGCCGGCA